rnacentral:lncRNA from 1 species
GCAUGACCUUCUUGAAGGUGUUGCCCAGUAUGAGACCAAACUGUUAUUUCAAUAUCUCAUAAAAAACUUUAUAUCAGAACAGGACUUGCUUUCCCGAAUUUAUGGAUUUGACUAUGGUUUUUUAGACAGAAAAAACCGCCCCACAAACAUCAUUUUGGAUAGUGCUGGCAAUGGCAUUGGCUUGAACUCCAUCCAGACAUUGUGUCUCGUGAAAAACAUCCCUCUUUUGUUUGGUGACAUUAUUCCAGCGGGAAACGGACACUGGGAAUUACUACUACUCUUACUCCAAAUGAUGGACAUUGUUCUUUCUCCUUCUCUCACUUUGGGUAUGACUGUGUAUUUGAAAAAUCUCAUUGUUGACCACCACAAAUUAUUCAAGCACUUGUGUCCUCAAAGAAACUUGAUUCCCAAGCAUCAUUUUAUGAUUCACUAUCCAUCUUCUAUUUGGAAAAUUGGCCUCUUAUUGUUUGUCUGGUCUAUGAGGUUUGAGGCGAAGCACAAAUUGUUUAAAAAUUAUUUAAAAAAUUUCAAAAACAUAACCAAAUCACUUGCAAAAAGGCAUCAGAUGGCCAUUGCUUUCCAUUGGGAAACUUUUCCUUUUAAAAAAAAGGAAUAUGGGCCCAUCAAAUCAUUUUCUCCAAGAUAUGUGGUCAACAGUGAAAUGCUUCAAAUGAUGUCAAAAGAGGUGUUCGAAACAAGUUGGGUGAAAGUUGAUGGCGUUGAGUACAGAGCUGGACUUGUUGUUUGCAAUUCAAUGGAGGAAGAGAUGCCAGUCUUUGGUGAAAUACUUGAUGUACUUUUGCUUGAAAAUGACAUUUUUUUACUGACACUGGAGCUUUUUACAGUGAACUUUGAUGACCAUCACCAUGCGUUCAAAGUGAAACGAACAGAAAAACAGCAUGUCAUAAAAACAAUGGAACUGAAAUGUCACCAACCUUUUGAUAUUCAAAGCUCAUAUGGAGCUACAAAUGAAAGUUUAUAUGUCAUACCUUCAUUCACAAUCUUUUAAUUGUAUAAUGGGAGAAGAGCC